AUCUUGACUCUCAAUGCCUAUUCCCUAGUAAGUAGGCUGUGAUAAACGUCAUUUUAACACCUAAAACUCUAAGAAGUAAAAAGUUACAAAAAUAUAUAGUUCGUUGGCAAACUCAAAAAAAUAAAAUGGCGCAGCAAUUGCUUGCAGUGAUAACAUAGGAAAUUAAAGGAUCAACAAUAGAAAUGAAGGAUAAUAUAUGAAAAAAGGGACGAGCCACUAUCAAAGCACUAAAACGUAUACUUCCACACUGGAUUGGAUUGAUUUUCCAAUGCAACUCCCAGACUUGAACUGAUAAUCCAGAUUUUGGCCGACGUUGAUAAGAAGAAGGAGCUCAGAUAUACUUCGAACAGCUGAGCGGGCCGCACUGUUCGGACGUUCGAAACGUAAACGACGAGCAACCCACAUCGGCACGUCUCUAAAUAACUACAAUCUGCAUUAUGCAACGGACGACGCGGCGAUCCUGCGGGAGAGAACGCGGCGAACACGCACCCAAGUCGGUAAAUUAAAUCGGGAAAAAAAUCAUCGCUCGUGUCGCGCACAAGCCGGCGCGCGGCCAGAACGGGACAACUUUUGGCAAACCAAUUUGCCGCGAGUCUGGCCCGUGCAACCAAAAUCUGUACCAAUCAUUUUACAUUACCUGUAAUGAUUUAAUAACUUUUCAUAACAAAAGUAAAUAUAUAGGUAUAUAUGGUUCACCACAA